UACGUAGGGGGCUAGCGUUGUCCGGAUUUAUUGGGCGUAAAGAGCGCGUAGGCGGCUAGGUAAGUCCGACGUGAAAUCUGGAGGCUCAACCUCCAGCGAUCGUUGGAAACUACUUGGCUAGAGUCCGGAAGAGGAGAGUGGAAUUCCUGGUGUAGCGGUGAAAUGCGCAGAUAUCAGGAAGAACACCGAUGGCGAAAGCAGCUCUCUGGGACGGUACUGACGCUGAGGCGCGAAAGCGUGGGGAGCGAACAGG
rnacentral:rRNA from 1 species